rnacentral:rRNA from 1 species
GACGAACGCUGGCGGCGUGCUUAACACAUGCAAGUCGAACGGAAAGGCCUUUUCGGAGGUACUCGAGUGGCGAACGGGUGCGUAACACGUGGGUGAUCUUCCCUGCACUCUGGGAUAAGCCUGGGAAACUGGGUCUAAUACCGGAUAGGACCGCACUUUAGUGUGUGUGGUGGAAAGUUUUUUCGGUGUAGGAUGAGCCCGCGGCCUAUCAGCUUGUUGGUGGGGUAAUGGCCUACCAAGGCGGCGACGGGUAGCCGGACUGAGAGGUUGGUCGGCCACAUUGGGACUGAGAUACGGCCCAGACUCCUACGGGAGGCAGCAGUGGGGAAUAUUGCACAAUGGGCGCAAGCCUGAUGCAGCGACGCCGCGUGGGGGAUGACGGCCUUCGGGUUGGAAACUCCUUUCGCCAGGGACGAAGCGUUUUGUGACGGUACCUGGAGAAGAAGCACCGGCUAACUACGUG